CACUGCGCCUUGGGGGACCGGGCCGGGGUCCCUGUGCCUUGAUCCGCGCCGCAGCCCCCUACCCCGGGGUGCGGGGCUGUCAGUCAACUCACAGGUGUCUGCGGGACGGGGAGCGGGCUUGGGUGCCUCGGGACCCCGCCUGGCCGCGCGCGCCCUCCCCGUGGCACGUGGGGUCUGGGAGGGGUUGGUCGGCAGGGUCUCCUCCGCGGACCCCAGGGAAGCCAGAGUCACCAAGACCGGCAGCGGCGCAGACCUUUCUGGAAGGGCCUGGCUCAGGGACUCCUCCAGGGCCCCGCGGCUCUCUUCUCGGAGCAGCUUGUUCUGAGGCUGAAGACAGGCUGACCUGGAUCGAAGUCCCAGCACCCUGCUCACCCCUGCCCGAAGGCGACCCUCCACUGCCCGCGCCUCAGUUUCCCUCUUCUGUAAAAUGGGGACAACAGCAGUGCCCACCUUGGGUGCAGCUGGGGACCUCGGUGAGUCAAUCUCAAUUCACAGCAGGUCAGCUUCAGUCCCAGCUGGUGGGGUAGGAACUGUGGCCACCCAGCCAGAACUCCGGCCCCUCUAGUGACCCAGUUUACCUUUCCAGAGCUCGGGGUUGGAAGCCCGUUCUUGUGUGAGUCCCUCCUACUAAGAGAGAGGGCCGCCCACCCUCCCCACACCUGAGCCCCAGACCUCACUCCGAAGGGGCCACCCUGGCGUCUGCCCUCGGACCCGAGUGCAGACAGCUGCCGUGCUCCGGGGACAGUGAGGGGAUGGCGCAGGUGCAGGAACACCUCCUGGCGAUGUGUCGGGACACAAGACCCCCUGCCCAGACGGGAUCAGAGCUUGAGGAGGCUGCUAGGGCACCGGGGCUGCUUGUGUAAAGCUGAGAAGAGCCAUUUUUCAAGCCUGGCUCUUUUCACAUUCUCAGGACUUCGUGCUGGAAAGGGUCUGGCAACCAGGGAGGGUAGCUUUUCCUCCUCAGGGCGGGGGAAAACACCACGUUCUGGAUACGCAGGCACCAAAGCCGCUGAAGCACACAGGUGAGGCCAUGGCAGAGUCAGACACCCGCCCGCUCCUGUUCCACACUCCGGAGCACCGCGCAGGGCCCUGUGCUACCACCCUCUGGUGGCAGCCUUAGAAAUUGCAGGCACGGCCUCCCAGGAUCCACCCCCAACUUCCCUCUGAGGAACCAAGCAA
rnacentral:lncRNA from 1 species